rnacentral:rRNA from 1 species
CCUACGGGGUGCAGCAGUGAGGAAUAUUGGUCAAUGGUCGGGAGACUGAACCAGCCAAGCCGCGUGAGGGAGGAAGGUACAGAGUAUCGUAAACCUCUUUUGUCAGGGAACAAAGACUGGGACGCGUCCCCGGAUGAGUGUACCUGAAGAAAAAGCAUCGGCUAACUCCGUGCCAGCAGCCGCGGUAAUACGGGGGAUGCGAGCGUUAUCCGGAUUUAUUGGGUUUAAGGGGUGCGCAGGCGGUCUGUAAAGUCAGCGGUAAAAGCCCGGGGCUCAACCCCGGCCCGCCGUUGAAACUGGCAGUCGCGAGUUGGAGAGAAGUAUGCGGAAUGCGCGGUGGAGCGGUGAAGUGCAUAGAUAUCGCGCAGAACUCCGAUUGCGAAGGCAGCAUGCCGGCUCCACGCUGACGCUGAGGCACGAAAGCGUGGGUAUCGAACAGGAUUAGAUACCCCAGUAGUC